rnacentral:rRNA from 1 species
GACGAACGCUGGCGGCGUGCUUAACACAUGCAAGUCGAACGGAAAGGCCUGCUUUCCCUUGUGGAUUGCGGGUACUCGAGUGGCGAACGGGUGAGUAACACGUGAGUGAUCUGCCCCCAACUUGGGUAUAAGCCUGGGAAACUGGGUCUAAUUCCCGAUAGGACUGCAGGGUGGUGCCUGUGGUGGAAAACGAUUUUCUAGUGGUUGGGGAUGAGCUCGCGGCCUAUCAGCUUGUUGGUGGGGUAAUGGCCUACCAAGGCGGCGACGGGUAGCCGGCCUGAGAGGGUGGACGGCCACAUUGGGACUGAGAUACGGCCCAGACUCCUACGGGAGGCAGCAGUGGGGAAUAGUGCACAAUGGGCGGAAGCCUGAUGCAGCGACGCCGCGUGGGGGAUGACGGCCUUCGGGUUGUAAACUCCUUUCGACCGCGAGGAAGCCACCUGGUUGGAAGGGUGGUGACGGUAGUGGUGGAAGAAGCACCGGCUAACUACGUG